GUUUUCGGCGGCUCGGACGGGAGGGCGCGAGCCCUGCCGGUUUUUUCGUGAGAACUUCCCCGGUCUUCCAACCCGUUCGAGCCGCCGCCCUC
rfam:Variovorax sp. HW608 genome assembly, chromosome: I